GACGAACGCUGGCGGCGUGCCUAAUACAUGCAAGUAGAACGCUGAAGGAGGAGCUUGCUCUUCUGGAUGAGUUGCGAACGGGUGAGUAACGCGUAGGUAACCUGCCUGGUAGCGGGGGAUAACUAUUGGAAACGAUAGCUAAUACCGCAUAACAUUGACUAUUGCAUGAUAGUCAAUUGAAAGGUGCAAAUGCACCACUACCAGAUGGACCUGCGUUGUAUUAGCUAGUUGGUGGGGUAACGGCUCACCAAGGCGACGAUACAUAGCCGACCUGAGAGGGUGAUCGGCCACACUGGGACUGAGACACGGCCCAGACUCCUACGGGAGGCAGCAGUAGGGAAUCUUCGGCAAUGGACGAAAGUCUGACCGAGCAACGCCGCGUGAGUGAAGAAGGUUUUCGGAUCGUAAAGCUCUGUUGUAAGAGAAGAACGAGUGUGAGAGNGGAAAGUUCACACNGNGACGG
rnacentral:rRNA from 1 species